rnacentral:lncRNA from 1 species
CCUAAAACUGCAGGGGUCGACUCAUGGGGGUCGACUCAUGCCUGGGGGUCGACUCAUGAGGGUCGACUCACAGGGUGUGCCAAUCAGCUCAUUGUGCCAUGAGUUGACUCACGGGUUGACUCAUGAUUUUCAAACAUGCAUAACUUUCAAAAUACAAGUCCAAAAUCAAUGAAAUUUUCACCAUUGGAUCACAAAUCUUUUGUUCUACCAAAUGAUACUAUCAAAUCAGGAUUUUAG